rnacentral:tRNA from 1 species
GCACUGGUGGUUCAAGUGGUUUAGAAUUUUUGCCUUUCAUGUGAAAGAUCUAGAUUCAAUUUCAGACCAAUGCA